rnacentral:rRNA from 1 species
AUGACUUGGCUUCAUGAAGGCCCAAUUAACUGUUUAGAUUUUCACCCCCACGAGUUCUUACUGGCCACAGGUUCAGCUGAUAAAACUGUUAAAUUUUGGGACCUUGAGACUUUUGAGUUGAUUGGAUCUUCUGGACCGGAGAAUUGUCGGGAAUACUAUAUGCCGGCUAGUGUAGUUCGUUCUAUGACAUUCAACAGUGAUGUCAAAGCACUUUUUUGUGGAUUACAUGAAAGCUUGAAGGUUCUUUCAUGGGAACCUAUCAUAUGUCAUGAUGCAGUUGAUGUUGGCUGGUCAACAUUAGCAGAUCUAAAUGUACAAGAGGGAAAACUUCUUGGUUGCUCAUAUAACCAAAGUUGUGUGGGAAUAUGGGUUGUGGACUUGAUGAAAUUUGAUCCAUACACUGUCGGUAGUGCGGAAGCAUUUUGGAAUGGAACUGGUAAUGGGCCAUUACAAGCUGAUAAUAGCAUAUCAUCAAUGCUGGGAAGUUUAUCGAUUUCCAGAAGACCAGAAGCCAAUGAAACAUCCAGUACAUUGCUUAAGCGCCCGAUGUCUGCGUCGAAAGAAGCUUCUGUACCAGCUUCUUCUGCAGUGAGGAAGAGAUUAUCAAAAGCACCUGGAAUAAAUAAUCUUCGGCUGACAAGAGCUGAAUCUGCACCUCUUCUUUCUCCUCGGGUUAGAUUGAAGCCAAAUUCUACUGACCACCAGAAGAGACACAUAGCUAAUGUUCGCUUCAAAGUGGAUCUCUCUACAAGUGCCAGAAUGAUCCCUGGUAACUCACAUGCUUCUGCUGCUCCCACAUAUAUACCUAGGUCCAAUAUAUUUGCAUGUAGUAGUGAAGGAUCCACUUUCGUGCCUGGUAUUGUCCCAAGGCAUGUUUCUAAAGUGGAUGCUGGUUCCAAUCUCAGUGAAGCCGCCGCCGCCGCCAUAAAGCCUGAACAAUUACUAAAAGGUCAUCUGGCUGUGGAUCAUGACAAAGAUGUUCAUCGUUCCGUAUUUCAGUCAAAGCCAAUUACUUCAAAAACUCCACAAAGGAAAUUUAUAAGAGAAACAUCAAGUGAUGGGGACAUUAACUGUUUUGGGCCAUUGUGCACUGAAAGUGUUCAGUCUAACAAAGUUGAUAACUGGUAUGAUGUUUGUGGUUUCAAAGAAACAAAAUCAGCAGUUGGAAGGAAUCCACAAUUUGUGAAUGUUAACAGAACAGUAGUGUUUGGAUCGAGCCAACUGGUGGAAUCAAGUGAGAGCAGCAUAAUGCAAAAUCGAGGAACGGGACAUUUAUUUGCGAGUUACGAGAGAAGCGAGUACGCACCAACAUCAGAUGGCUUGAGACAAUCUUCAUUUGCUGGAGAACGCAGUGCAUCGGCUAAUGAUGACGAUCUUAUAGCUGACCUAAUGCAAAACCAUCAAGAAUUCAUUCAUGGCGUGAAGUCGCGGCUGACAAAACUAGAGCUUGUGUACCGCUGUUGGCAAAAUAAUGAUAUCAAGGGCUCUGUCAGUGCUAUGCGAAGAAUGUCGGAUCAUGCUGUUACUGCUGAUAUAAUUAAUGUUCUUAUUAUGGAAAAGAGUACCAAGUAUAUUACACUAGACAUUUGCACUUCUGUUUUACCUCUCGCCUCCAAUCUUCUUGAAAGCGGAUAUGACAGACAUUUGAACGUUGCCUUGGCGACGAUCCUUAAGCUUGUCAAAAGCUUCCGUGCAUCAAUCUUUUCUAUUUUGUCGUCUGCUCCACCAGUCGGUGUAGACCUCGAAGCAGAGCACUGGUUGGAACGCUGCAGUUCAUGCUUUCAAGAGCUGGAUAAGAUAAAUGCAAGUCUCAUCUCCUUGACAAGGCGAGAAGGCAAGGUUGGGAGAUCAGCACGGGAGCUGAGCCUCCUCCUUCAUGAUAUCUUCAAGACGCCAAGCACGAUGUAG